ACGAACGCUGGCGGCGUGCCUAAUACAUGCAAGUAGAACGCUGAAGGAGGAGCUUGCUUCUCUGGAUGAGUUGCGAACGGGUGAGUAACGCGUAGGUAACCUGCCUGGUAGCGGGGGAUAACUAUUGGAAACGAUAGCUAAUACCGCAUAAGAUUGACUAUUGCAUGAUAGUCAGUUAAAAGGUGCAAUUGCAUCACUACCAGAUGGACCUGCGUUGUAUUAGCUAGUUGGUGGGGUAACGGCUCACCAAGGCGACGAUACAUAGCCGACCUGAGAGGGUGAUCGGCCACACUGGGACUGAGACACGGCCCAGACUCCUACGGGAGGCAGCAGUAGGGAAUCUUCGGCAAUGGACGGAAGUCUGACCGAGCAACGCCGCGUGAGUGAAGAAGGUUUUCGGAUCGUAAAGCUCUGUUGUAAGAGAAGAACGAGUGUGAGAGUGGAAAGUUCACACUGUGACGGUAUCUUACCAGAAAGGGACGGCUAACUACGUG
rnacentral:rRNA from 1 species